rnacentral:snRNA from 1 species
AUCUUCACCUGGAAGUUUCUUCCAUUGCACUCUAGAUGUGCUAUACUCUGUGAUUUUCCCACAUGUGGGAAUCUUGGCUGCAUUAUUUGUGGUACUGGGAAACUGUGUUUGUGCUUUCCUC